rnacentral:rRNA from 1 species
GACGAACGCUGGCGGCGUGCUUAACACAUGCAAGUCGAACGGUAAGGCCCUUCGGGGUACACGAGUGGCGAACGGGUGAGUAACACGUGGGUGAUCUGCCCUGCACUUCGGGAUAUGCCUGGGAAACUGGGUCUAAUACCGGAUAGGACCACUGCCGGCAUGGGUGGUGGUGGAAAGCUUUUGCGGUGUUGGAUGGGCCGGUGGUCUCUCAGCUUGUGAGUGGGGGGAUGGCCUACCAAGGCGAGGACGGGUAGCCGGCCUGAGAGGGUGACCUGCGACGCUGGGAGUGUGAUACGGCACAAGCUCCUGCGUGAGGGAGCUGUGGGGAGGAUUGCGCAAUGGGCGCAAGCCGGGUGCAGCGGCGCCGCGUUAGGGAUUGCGGCCUUCGGGUUGUAAACCUCUUACAACACCGACGAAGCGCAAGUGGCGGUAGGUGCAGAAUAAGGACCGGCCAACUACGUGCCAGCCGCCGCGGUAAAAC